AUAAAAUGGUAGCCUCAUCAACCUCUGCUUUAUCUCCUUGCCCAAACAUUACUCUGUUAUUCUACUGUGAGUUUUCUGCCACUUCCAAGGUAUGCCUUAGACCCUAAAUACCCACUAUCACUACUCUCUCCCCAUUAAUCACCCCCAUCAGCUAGCUCCUACAAGUGCUCCACACUCUUCAACCCUCAACUCAACAAUGUAUAUCUUCACUCCACCAGAGUGAUGGAUGGGCCCUUGUGUAGGCGUGGGUUAUACUGUGUACAAUCACCAUUAUUACACAUUACAUUUUAGUUCAUCUUUUGGUCUCACGUCUCUCUCUCUCACAAAAUGGUAAGUUCCUUGAAGAUAGUGGCUGUGAAAUGACUCACAUUGUAAAGAAGAAAUACGAAAAAUACAUAAAACAGUAACCAAUUUAUGUCACAUACAUGUACACAAAGGGGAAUAAUGGAGGAAAAUAUGUGAAAGAGUUAAAGGUAGUUGUCUCUGAGUAGUGGGGUUUGUUAUGAGAAUUUUUUUUCUUAUGCUUUAAUUUCAAAUUCUCUGCAGUGAAAAUGAAGUAGUUUUAUAACAUUAAAAUACAUAAGCAUAUCCUAGACCUGUUAGAAAUGAAAAUGGAGUUCUUCACUGAACAAGAACAUUAUAUAACAAGGGCUUUAAAAAUACUCUAAAUUUUAGUAUGUGGAAUGUAGUGUUUAAUAUAUUUAGACCAAUGGAUAAUAAAGAAAUUGAAUGUGACAUCUCUGCUUAAACUAAGUGAAUUCUUCUAAACUUGUAAAUCCUUCUGUACUAUUAAUCCUGAAAAUUUUGAAGCUCCCUAAUAUGCUUCUAGGGACCUCUCUGCAUGUUUUGAGUUUCCCCUUUCUCCCAAGACUCUCCACCAAAAAAGGAUCAAUUUAAAUACAUUUGAAAUUAGAAGCAAUAUAACAGCAGAGAUGUCCUUAAACAUUCUAGAUCUAACAAUGUGGCCUGUGCCUAUAUAUUUCUCUUAAAUUGAAUGAAUAAUUAUCUCAUUUACUUAGCAUAAUUUAUUGUACACAUUUAUAAAGUCCUGCUUGAAGGGAGAUCAUAAUAUUUUAUAACUCUCUACAUUUGUUCACCUUAUAAGCCCGAGUUAGAUCCUGCUUAUCUGAAUAAAUUGAAAGAAAGCCAUAUUAUAGAUGAUAAAUCAUAUAAUUGUCAGCUAAUUAGUGGAGAAUAUAGUGCUUUUUUUUAAAAAAAAAAAA
rnacentral:lncRNA from 1 species